UGGAUCAUGUGGCAGUUUUAUUUUUGAUUUUUCGAGAAACUUCUGUACUGGUUUCCAUGAUGGCUGCACCGUACUAAUUUUAUUAUUAUUUCCAACAGUACAAUGAAUAAGUUAGUGGCAAAAUAUUUUGGCAUGUUUAUUUUUCCAGAAAAAAAUCCUGCAAGAAAAAUUACCCAUUGAAAGCACAUGAAUGCUUUUAAGGGUUUUGAUACGUAGUGUCAAAAUGCUGUCAUUAAGCUUAUAUCAGCUCAGAUUGCCAUCAGCAUUAUAUGAAUGUCCAUUUCAUCAGAAUGUCAUUGAGCCCACAGGUGCUAAGGUUGCUAAAAAUCCCUCUGAGAUGCUGAAGGUGAUGAGGACAGGUCCAGCCAGACCACCAUGUAACUGUAGAUGCCAGCCAGCCUAGAAGGCAACCAGAGGUCGACACUGAGCUUUGCUGCUUCAGCGAUGGGAGCUGUGCUGAGCGCGGGACCCCACCUGCAUUUCUCCAGGCAUGGGAGAGGAGAAAAUCUACCAAAGACAGGUCUCUCCAAGUUGCCCAGCAUGACCUUGAACUUGGGAUCCUCCUGCUUCAGCCUUCUGAGUGUCUCUGGCAUUACAAUGGGCCAACACUAGACUUGGCUCAUUAUUUCGUUCCAAGUAAAGAAGGCAAAAGUCAGUAGCCUAGGUGAACUUUGACAUGGCUGAUUCAUUAAUGAUACUCUAAAAUAAAUUCACAUCAAAGGGAAAUCUUGUGUCCUCCCACCACUUGGGACCUCUGGCUUUUUAGAAAUGAAUCCAGGAUUUGAUGAUCAUUCUGUCUGCCAAAACAAAAGUCAGAAAACAAAUGCCUCUCAGAGCUAGACAUGGCACUGGGUUGCUUUAUCUCUGUGAAGAAAAUGCUCCUGAGGUUUGGUAGUGAAAAGUCUGAGUGACACAUUUAGUUGAGGCCUUCCUGCACUAGACGUGGGGCAGGAAAGAUCAAGAGAAGUAAGGAAAGUGUUGGAUGCGGAGGCUGAGCCUGCUCACUUCCCCCACCAAAGCAAACCCCAAUCCCAACGCUCAGGAAACCUCGACACCUGCUCAUUUCAGACAGAAAUGCGCAGCAGCUGUAGGAAAAGAUGGCCUCAUAUGCCCAGGGGAGCUCAGACCAUCAGGAAGCUUGUGAGUCCCUGUUACAAAGGGUGAUCAAACAGCAUGGUGAAAGUUUAAAUAAAAAGAAUUUCCUAUAUAUAGUAAAAGACUCACAGCCAUGAGUCCCCCUCAAAAUUCUCUCCACAUUUAUCCCAUGGCUCUUGCCAUUUUCUGAAGCAGUUCUGUAAGUACUCUUUCUUGAGCAUCGUUACAAGGUGCCAAUAAAAGUAUGAGACUGUUGCCGCCAGGUGCCAUCCGCUGACAAGGCAGCCUUGUAAAAACAUGGCAGUGUGUCCUGUGUUUGUCGGAUCUGGCACUGUGUGACUUCUGGCUCCUCCCUGAAGUCAAAAUGACCACAAAAGGCCAGCAUUUUGUGCUGACUCAGGACCCUGAGGCAGUCACAACUAAAGACACCUGGUGUGUGUCAGGCGUUGUCCACAUUGCCUUCCUCAGCUCUCAGGUGAGCACCAUCUGUGGUCCCAUUUUACACUUGUGACUCGGAAGCCAGCUGACACCUUAUGUUUCCCCUCUUCUACCCAAAUGUGGCUGUGAUACUGAAGCUGACCACCUGAUACACAAGCCUGAGUGAGCUGAUGAUCCUAGGGGUAAAAAGGGAGAGUGGAACAUAUCUUGCAUUCACCAAAUCCCACAGAAACCUCCAGCGGCGGCAGCUCCUCCAUCCUCGGACCUCCUUGCUGUGCUCUGCCCAGGCAGAGCCAACUCUCUUCUCCCUCCUCCUGCUCUUCCUCUGGGGGAUCCCUGCAUGGCCCACGCGUGACUCAUUGUGCUUCACCUUUGUCCUGCAUCCACAUGCGAGUAUGUGCGAGGUGGGGGCCAGUUCCUCAGUGCCACAGACUAUGUUUGCCAAUUCAGACUAGAGUUCUACUGUCUAACCUCCUGAUAAGCCUCUUCCUGUAAAGAUCUAUGAAGUUCAGUAGCUAGGAAGACCUUGGGAAAGAAAAUAGAAAAUAGGAAGUGUGGGUAUGUAAACCCAAGUGCAUUAAGACAGCACCAGUGCUAGGUCUUGGGAUAGGGAGGGUCAGUGGUCAACAUUUGUAUGUCCAUAAUGUUUAGAGUUACUUUCUGGGGUGCAGUACUAGGGACAGAACCCAGGGCUUCCUCAGGCUAGACAAGUUCUCCACCUCUGAGUUACAUUCUCGGCCUUUUUUAAAUUUUAUUUUGAGACAGAGUCUCACUAAGGUCCCCAGGUUGGGCUUCAAUUUGUGAUCUUCCUGUCUCAGUCUCUGGAGUAGUCCAGUUACAUGUGUGCAUGGCCAUCCCAGCUAGAACAACCUUUGUGGUAUUUAUGAGUAUCAGGGCUUUCUCCUUUUUUUUUUGCCUCAUUUUGAAUAAUUCUAGUGACAAAGAGCUUAGUAUUUCUUUGUUUAGAGCUUGGUAUUUUUGGAGAGAACCUAUUCCACUGUUGGACAGCCCAGGAAAAGAGCUCCUUUUUCUUAAACCAAAUUCUAUUUUCCUUCAGUUUUCACUGACACUCGCUAAUUCUUUUUUUUUU